CACGUAGGAGGCGAGCGUUGUCCGGAAUCAUUGGGCGUAAAGAGCGUGUAGGCGGUCUGUCGCGUCUGCUGUGAAAAUCCGGGGCUCAACCCCGGACUUGCAGUGGGUACGGGCAGACUAGAGUGUGGUAGGGGAGACGUGGAAUUCCUGGUGUAGCGGUGAAAUGCGCAGAUAUCAGGAGGAACACCGAUGGCGAAGGCAGGUCUCUGGGCCACUACUGACGC
rnacentral:rRNA from 1 species